CGCGGGUUUGCCGUGUUUUUCCGUUACCCGACGCGGAGAGUCUGUUGAGCAAAGCUGGUUUGAUUCCUCGCAAGCUUCUUUUUGCUGCCUCUGGGAAGAUUGCUGAUGUAGCGCAAGCACCUUGUGGCAUUUGCUUUCCCCAAGAUGCAGAGACAAGUCGACUUCCACUUUGUUCGUCUGAUCUUCCGACGUGGAGGUGCCGAUGCAAGGCACAGAAAGCAGCUUUCUGUUCUGCGGAGACCGUGGAAAGUCCCGCAGGACGCGUGCGUCCGUUUUCCGCAGAAUAUUCCCAUAUGAGGAAGAAGGCAAGCGAGCGAACAAACGUUCUGCACUGGACACUUGAGUCGCAUCCAGGGAAAAUGUCUAAUCAAGCCAGGCUUAGGACUACCGGUUCUCUGCGAAAGAGUCUGUGGCGCGAAAGUGAUGGAACUCCCUCGUUUGUGGCUGUACUGCGAUAACUCUCGAAGAAUCGAGCUCCUCUGUCGAACGACAACAACAGGCUACGACGAUGUAUAGAAUCCGAAAUACUCAUCUUUAUCCGAGAUAAUUUCCAAGGCAGUCAUGGCUGUCAAGCUUCCUGAUGGGAUAAGGAAGCUGGGACUCGAAGACGUUUGAGAUUACCUCGCCUGCGCGCAUGUUGUCCAAAGAAUACGUCUUAGUGCCUUGGCCACUGCUCUCAACAAGAGAAGGGUAUUUUCUUUGGCUGAGAGGUUUCCUUGAUCGGCGAUUUCUCACCACAAAAAACUAUUUUCUUGUCCAAAGUGGAGAACCUAUGAGGUCACCGCCUGAAAAUGGCGCCUUCCUAGACUUCCUCCUGCCUCCACUGUGUCGCAGAGAAUCUCAUCAACUUGCGUUUCGUGGGUUUUUCUAGCAAGACUCGAGUUCUGCAACAGCCCUUCUUUUCUCAGUGUCCAUUCUUUCUACCAAAGAGAGAAUCUCAACUAUCGGUUCUGUGCCGGCUUCCUCUGUUCCCAUGUUCCCGCUUCACGUGGACAUCUACUGUGCAGAGGAACUUCACCGAUACACGAAG
rnacentral:lncRNA from 1 species